UACAGAGGGUGCGAGCGUUGUCCGGAAUCACUGGGCGUAAAGGGCGCGUAGGUGGUGGCGUAAGCGUGCGGUGAAAGCCCGAGGCUCAACUUCGGGUCGGCCGUGCGGACUGCGUCACUCGAGCAGAGUAGAGGCAGGUGGAAUUCCGGGUGUAGCGGUGGAAUGCGUAGAGAUCCGGAGGAACACCAGUGGCGAAGGCGGCUUCCUGGACCAAUACUGACGCUGAGGCGCGAAAGCGUGGGGAUCAAACAGGAUUAGAUACCCCAGUAGU
rnacentral:rRNA from 1 species